UACAGAGGUCUCAAGCGUUGUUCGGAUUCAUUGGGCGUAAAGGGUGCGUAGGCGGCGCGGUAAGUCGGGUGUGAAAUCUCGGGGCUUAACUCCGAAACUGCAUUCGAUACUACCGUGCUUGAGGACUGGAGAGGAGACUGGAAUUUACGGUGUAGCGGCGAAAUGCGUAGAUAUCGUAAGGAAGACCAGUGGCGAAGGCGGGUCUCUGGACAGUUCCUGACGCUGAGGCACGAAGGCCAGGGGAGCAAACGGG
rnacentral:rRNA from 1 species